rnacentral:misc_RNA from 1 species
AUUCGCCAGGGUCAGAUUCCCCAAAGCAAUGUCGUUUCGAUUGUGGAAAUGUCGAUGUUGCAUUGGUGACAAUAGCAGAAACUGAUUGAUCAGGAAUGCUAUGGAACUGUAUAGCCGCCGUUUCGCUUGUCGUGGCAUCCAUGGGCACUGCCAAAGGCUUUGCAGUGCCCAAACUUGGUAGAAGAUGAGUCUAGAUCGCUAGAUAAACCGGAUUGUUCAACAAACUUCCACUCUUGAAUA